rnacentral:rRNA from 1 species
GACGAACCGUGCGAACGUUGUUCGGAUUCACUGGGCUUAAAGGGCGCGUAGGCGGGCGGCCAAGUCCGAGGUGAAAUCUCCCGGCCCAACCGGAAAAUGGCCCGGGAUACUGGCCGCCUCGAGGGGGGUAGGGGCAUGCGGAACUCCGGUGGAGCGGUGAAAUGCGUAGAUAUCAUCUGGAACGCCAAUGGUGAAACAGCUCGCUGGGGUGUGCAGACGCUGGAGACACGAAAGCCAGGGGAGCGAACGGG